UACGAAGGGGGCUAGCGUUGUUCGGAAUUACUGGGCGUAAAGGGCGCGUAGGCGGUGUGUCAAGUCAGGCGUGAAAGCCCCGGGCUCAACCUGGGAACCGCGCUUGAGACUGGCACGCUCGAGUUCGGGAGAGGAUGGUGGAAUUCCCAGUGUAGAGGUGAAAUUCGUAGAUAUUGGGAAGAACACCGAUGGCGAAGGCAGCCAUCUGGACCGACACUGACGCUGAGGCGCGAAAGCGUGGGGGAGCAAACAGG
rnacentral:rRNA from 1 species